UCACGUUUAGCUUAAUGGUAAAGCAUUCCACUUCGGAUGGAAGGAUUAUCUGUUCAAAUCAGAUAACGUGAU
rfam:Arthrobotrys oligospora ATCC 24927 unplaced genomic scaffold scaffold00048, whole genome shotgun sequence.